GGCUAUAGUCAGGAAGAAGGCAGUUUUGAGAGGGAAAGUGGUAAGAAAAAGAUUAUAUCCCAAAAGCAUUGGGUCCCAAUUAAAGUUUGCUGCAUACCUUCUAGGAGCCCAUUUCACUUGGUGAACAGAAGGAACUCCUUUUACCAUUUGGAUGGAUAUGGACAAUACCAAUUGUAGCCAGCUUUUUGUAUCGUCUUAAGUGAUGUUCCUCUAUCAAUAUGAAGCCUA
rnacentral:lncRNA from 1 species